rnacentral:rRNA from 1 species
CCUACGGGUGGCAGCAGUGGGGAAUAUUGCACAAUGGGGGAAACCCUGAUGCAGCGACGCCGCGUGAGUGAAGAAGUAUUUCGGUAUGGAAAGCUCUAUCAGUAGGGAAGAAAAUGACGGUACGUGAUUAAGAAGCCCCGGCUAACUACCAGCCAGCAGACGCGGGAAUACGUAGGGAGCAGGCGUUAUCCGGAUUUACUGGGUGUAAUGGGAGCGUAGACGGCAGCACAAGUCUGGCGGGAAAUGCCGGGGCUUAAACCCCGAACUGCUUUGGAAAAUGUGCAGCUAGAGUGCGGGAUAGGUAAGUGGAAUGCGUGGUGUAGCGGUGAAAUGCGUAGAUAUUAGGUGGAACACCAGUGGCGAAGGCGGCUUACUGGACUGUAACUGACGUUGAGGCUCGAAAGCGUGGGGAGCGAACAGGAUUAGAUACCCGUGUAGUC